rnacentral:rRNA from 1 species
GACGAACGCUGGCGGCGUACUUAACACAUGCAAGUCGAGCGGUAAGGCCCUUUCGGGGGGUACACGAGCGGCGAACGGGUGAGUAACACGUGGGUGACCUGCCCUCAGCUCUGGGAUAAGCCUGGGAAACCGGGUCUAAUACUGGAUAUGACUCCAUGACGCAUGUUGUGGGGGUGGAAAGCCUUGUGCGGCUGAGGAUGGGCCCGCGGCCUAUCAGCUUGUUGGUGGGGGUGAUGGCCUACCAAGGCGACGACGGGUAGCCGGCCUGAGAGGGCGACCGGCCACACUGGGACUGAGACACGGCCCAGACUCCUACGGGAGGCAGCAGUGGGGAAUCUUGCGCAAUGGGCGAAAGCCUGACGCAGCGACGCCGCGUGAGGGAUGACGGCCU